GCGAGAAAACUUUGCAAUGUGCGAAAGCACGACAAGGUUAAUCCGAGUGGUUUCUGCUAAAGAAACCUUUUGCUAGUCCUAGAAACACUAGUGAAUAAGGGGUGGGCAAGUUCUGGUGUCAGCCGCCGCGGUAAAACCAGCACCUCAAGUGGUCAGGAUGAUUAUUGGGCCUAAAGCAUCCGUAGCUCGUUUUGUAAGUUUUCGGUUAAAUCCAUACGCUUAACGUAUGGGCUGCCGGAAAUACUGCAUAACUAGGAAGUGGGAGAGGUAGACGGUACUCGGUAGGAAGGGGUAAAAUCCUUUGAUCUAUUGAUGACCACCUGUGGCGAAGGCGGUCUACCAGAACACGUUCGACGGUGAGGGAUGAAAGCUGGGGGAGCAAACCGGAUUAGAUACCCAUGUAGUCCCUGAGCGGGCUGGCAAGGCGCAU
rnacentral:rRNA from 1 species